rnacentral:rRNA from 1 species
GACGAACGCUUGCGGCGCGCUUAACACAUGCAAGUCGAGCGAAGCGGCGGACGGGUGAGUAACACGUGAGUAACCUGCCUUAGACAUUGGGAUAGCCUCGGGAAACCGGGAUUAAUACCAAAUGGUCUACGAUGGACUCGCGUCCCAUUAGCUAGUUGGUGGGUAACGGCCCACCAAGGCGACGAUGGGUAGCCGGACGGAGAGGGUCACCGGCCACAUUGGGACUGAGAUACGGCGCAGACUGUACGGGAGGCAGCAGUGGGGGAUAUUGCACAAUGGGCGAAAGCCUGAUGCAGCGACGCCGCGUGGGGGAUGAAGGCUUUCGGGUUGUAAAACUCUGUCGCUAUCGAACGGGUAGGUGGAGAAGAAGCGCCGGCUAACUACGUGCCAGCAGCCGCGGUAAUUC